UCCUUCAUAGACAAGGAGUGAAACUCUGGGUUGUCUACUCCUGGAUCCCUUAGCUCAGGACUCCAAACACACAUUCUUCUUAGACCAUAGGGUCAUUCUCAGGGUAUGCUUCAGUUAUAGUUGUCAGGUGCCUCUGCCGUGUACCAACUAUAAUUUAUGUCUGUUUACUCUUGGAGAUACAUUUUCAGUUGGUGGGGUCAGAAGUGAGGAGACAUUAUCUCUCAGUAGGACCCACGGGUCAAAUAGCAAACUCAACCAACCAAGAUAUGAAAAUGACUCAAUAAAGAGAAGAAAAAGUUAAAGUACUUGACAAAAUGAGAUAUGCUGCCACAAUUUUGAACUUUACUUCUUAUGAGAAGGCCCAGAAAUGCAAAGGCAAAUAUGAGGACAAUCUUGAUUAACAAUGGCAGAAAGCCCAUCAGAUGAAAGGACUAACUGAAAU
rnacentral:lncRNA from 1 species